CGGAUUUAUAAGAAGCACCGAGCCUGGGCAGCGGUUUGGCAGGAGACCUCCUGAGAAGAACAUGUAACCCACAAAAUAUAGCCAGUGACCAAGGCUGCUCACACCUUUGCUUCUUGUGAGAAAUAAAGAAGAUGAUGGUCUUAAAAUGGUUUUACUAGAAGAAACUCCCCCCGUUCAUGGAAUAUACCAGUUGUGUUUCUGUGAGGCCUUACUCUGCCAUUCUGAUAAAUCCAGAGGGUUUUUACCACUGAUCUUUGGGGAGACAAAGCAGGGUGCAGGUGCCAGUACGUGAUUGGUGGAUCCCGAAGAUCAGAGGCAAUGAAUUGGUGGCCUGACCAGAGAUGAUGUAAAAAAAAAACCCGGCUGUGGAUUUCCUGCCACCCUUCUUCUGCUCAUCCCAGCCAGGUUGGACAAGGUGUGUUUCCAUUACAAAAGUGCACAAAACUUUGUUGACAUUCCACUAAUGUCUAGAAAACACAAUUUUGCAACUGCAAUGUUUCCAUUGAAUAAAAAACACAACUGAAAUCACACAGGAAUAAGUUUGUCCACACGAUAAUUCAUUAAAAACAUGCAGUGCCAGGAUCCUCCAACUCCUUCCUGUCACCUUCUUCUUUGUGGUUUGAGCCAGUGGCAACAUCUGGUUGAGAGCGGACGUUUUCUGGAUAUACUUUUACUAAAGUUUGCUGAGAUAACGAGUGAAUCUUGAGCAACCAAACUCUAUUUUGUACCAAAAUUAUGAGACGAUUGGUGUUAACUUGAUUCCAUCUUUCAAAUGUAUGCACAACUGCAUGCAGUGCCUUGCAUUUGAAAGGUAGAAUCAGGUUUAACACCGAUCAUCUUAUGAUCUCGAGAAAAGCAUCAGGAAAACGUAAAUGCGGAAAAAGUCUCUUGGCUUUUAUACAACUCUUCUAAAAAGGCCAGAAGUUAUGAAUUAGGAGUGAAAUCUGAACUGUAAACAGAUUCCAGAGCUACUUUGAACCUCUUGGCUCGUUCUUUAAAUAAUGUUGUCUUUAGUUAGUCUGAUCAGCCUCAUCUCGGUGAGUUUGUAGUCAUGUUCUCUGUCCAUUUUCUGCUCAUUAGAUGUUUAACCCAUUGCUACAACUAGUGUCGUAGCAAAUACAUGUUAUUUUUUUAAAUUUAAACCUGAUUUGAAGUUCUCAACAGCUUUAUCGCUGACGCCCGACGGUGUUCCUCGAUCUACAUGAUGCUGCUCUUUCUCUGAUGCUCUCCAACAAACCUUUGAGGCCUUUACAGAACAGAUGGAUUUAUAACUUGUGCUAUAACGUGACAAUGUGUAAAAAAAAAAAAAAGUCCAAGUGCAUUGAAUAUUUUUGCAGGACAUCUUGUAUUAGCGCCGUUAGCGAAGGAUUUUUGAACUAUUUCAAGAGUUAAAGACUCGAGGCGAUGUAAUAAUUAGGCGACUAGCGCUUGGACGCCAAGAUUCCCAACAAAUGUUUCUGCAGGAUUUAAUUUGCUGUUUCUUUUGCACUCAGAUCCAAAUGUUGUGUGAAAACCAAACUGACCCUAUGUGUAUCAGGUAUAAGUUACAGGGGACUGACAUUACAAGCCGGAGUGCAGAGUUAAAGACGGACUGUUUAAUGACUGGGACCUCUUACCUUAAUGUCAGAUGUCACUGUUGACUGAUGCAAGCAUCGACUUUGGCCUGAAAAUAACAUUUAAAUAAAGCAAUAAAGAAACAUAAGUAUUUUCUCAGUCAUCUAGUGCUAAAGAUUAGCUGACAAACAUUUGCAAAAAUAAUAAACAGGAUAAUUGAUGGCUGAUGUGACAGAAAUAGAGCUAAAAAAAUGUUUCUGAGUCUUGCGUAACGUAGCUGCAUGAAACAGAAAGAGGUCACCUUUCUCCAGGAAGAGCUGACUUGGUCUGCUGCUGCUCUUGUUCCUGUCUGCAGGAAAAAGACAAUUUAGUUACUUAAAAUAAUGGUGGAAAUUUCUUUCUUUCUUUUUUAGGGAAAAAGGGUUUCUUACCUCAACUUUUGUGCUUUUAGUUUCUCUUCAUCAUACCUAAAUUAGAUGAAAUAGUGUUUGUAAUAUGCUGCUUCAUUCCCACUUGUAGCAGCAAUAUGCUACAAACAUGUCUUUAUAAGAAGACACAUAAUGGCUACACCGAAUGCUGGCUGCAGUGACUUUUACAGAGCUGUCAUAGGUAUCCUCAUGUUUGAUAGAUACAAAGGAAAACAAUAAGUUGGGCCAAAAUCCAUGUCUGAGUUGCUCAUUAAAAAUGAAGCAGGUCAUCAAAAACCAGAACGCUCCAUGUUUCCAAUACUGGUGCUGCUCUGGUUUGGAAAACACUGAACUUCUCAGGUUUCCUGAGACGUGCAGAAGCUGUAACUGUUCCUUUAAAUUGGAUUUUUUUUUUUUUACAGCUGCUUUACUAAGAAAUAUAUUUCUUCUUAAAUUGAAGAAAAAAACAUUGUAUUUCAAUUUGUGAGGCACAAAAGAAUGGGAAAGUCAAGUUAUUGAAUCAAUUUGAAAUAUAGUUGAUAUUUUUAAGAUUUUCCAGAAAGGUUUUUAACAUUUUAAAUAUCUGAAGAUUAUAAUUUGCUUUGCAGAUAUUGUGAGACAAUAAAUAAUGUAUAGAAAAAACAAAACUUUUCUUGUCAAUGAUUAAAGGAAGUGUAUUUUGUAAUAUAAUUUGGUGUAUUUUAGGGUCUCUUUGUUUGUUUGUUCACUAAUGUUCUUCUUUCUAUACAGUUAUAUUCAAUAUAUUUGAAUAUUUGUCCCAAUAUAUUUGGUUGGUCAGAUUAAAGGUGCCUUAUGACAAUAACAACUUUCAAGGAAGUAUUAAAAAUAUUUUUCUUUGAACCCAAAUUUCUGUUAUUUUCUUGGUCUGAUGUCAUAUUUUAAUUCUAAAUGUCAUGUUUCCAUUAACUGUAAGCAGAAAACCGUUAUAAUUAACAGAAAUAAAUGCUUUCAAACAUCAA